CUCAUGAACUUCCGCGUACGAGGGUCCCGCCCUCAUGGCCUUCCGCGUACCAGGGUCCCGCCCUCAUGGCCUUCCGCGUACGAGGGUCAGGCCCUCAUGACCUUCCGCGUACGAGGGUCCCGGCCUCAUGAACUUCCGCGUACGAGGGUCCCGCCCUCAUGAACUUCCGCGUACGAGGGUCCCGCCCUCAUGAACUUCCGCGUACGAGGGUCCCGCCCUCAUCCGCCCUCAUGGCCUUCCGCGUACCAGGGUCCCGCCCUCAUGGCCUUCCGCGUACCAGGGUCCCGCCCUCAUGGCCUUCCGCGUACCAGGGUCCCGUCCUCAUGACCUUCCGCGUACGAGGGUCAGGUCCUCAUGACCUUCCGCGUACGAGGGUUACGCCCUCAUGACCUUCCGCGUACGAGGGUUACGCCCUCAUGACCUUCCGCGUACGAGGGUUCUGCCCUCAUGACCUUUUCACCUUCCGGAGGUCCUGCCUCCUAGCCCCAUCACCUUGCGGGUGAGGAUUUCAACAGAUGAAUAUGGCGGUGGGGGGGUGUAAACAUUCCGAUCGCAGCAGCCACCCACGUAUCACCUUGGUCUGGGGUGUAGCAGGCAUUGCCAGGGCUCAGCCAAAGCCGGGCUCCAGCUGCUCGUGGAGAUAACAAAGGCUUCUGUGGCCUCAUCUACUUCAUUGUGACGAGGUCGACGCUGUAAGGGGCCAAGUGGAUGAUUUAGCUCAACAGCUAAAUGAUGUUCUGGGAGAAGGGGACUGAGGCUGCCGUGGACAGUGGUCAUCUCGGGCUUCGAAGUCAAUGUGAAGUCAACGUCUAAUGGACCCGAGUUCAGCCAAGAACACACACCCGUUGUUCCAGGGAAGAAUCUCAUGGUGAAGCACUAGUGAGCGUCCAAGCAACUCCCAGCCUAACCUCACGGGUCUGACUGUGGGGCUGCUUCUGCCACGGCUCCUGGCUGGCGAUGGGGCUGUCAGCGUGUCAGCCAACCAUGCAUUGCAGAUGCACUUUGAAGAAAAUUAAUGUACCUGGGUACUUAUGGGACUCCCUGCAUGAGUGGGUAUAAUUGAAAUAGCCGGGACAUCAAAAAGCUGGAACACUGGGAGCCUGGCCCUAGGGUGGCGGAGGCCACAACGGAGCCCCCAGCCGGUUGGAAAGAGGCUUCCUAUGCUCUCCUUUCCAUGCCACUGCGGAAGUGCUGGGAACAGGAAGACCAGGGCAUUGCCAAGUGAAUAAUAACAACCAUGUGUGCGGCGUUCACGAUACCCCAGGCUCAGUGAGCCUUUUACUCAGGGUCUCAUGUGAUGCUGAAAACAAUCCCAUGAAGUUUAGAAGCCUGUGCACACGAAGAGACGUGGUGUUUCCCUAUUGAUCCAAACUGCAUGCUGACCUGUUCCUGCCAGGGCUGCGCUCCUCCUGCUUUGCCCUGGCUCUCCCGUUCUGCACUCCGUCUUCUACCGGGAAUUCCUGGAAGCACCUUUUAUUCACAGUGCCUGCUUUGAAUAGAUACAAAUACAAUUUGUAUCUUAUGUAGUCCAUUCCACACAAUUGAAAAUAUAAUGUAAUAAAAAUCAGAAAAGUAAA